AGACGUCGCUGCCGUGAUCGUGG
rnacentral:siRNA from 1 species